rnacentral:rRNA from 1 species
ACUUACAUUGAAGCCUAGCGAUGUGUAAGUUAGUGGCGGACGGGUGAGUAACGCGUGGGUAACCUGCCUUGUACUGGGGGACAACAGUUGGAAACGACUGCUAAUACCGCAUAAGCGCACAGUACCGCAUGGUACGGUGUGAAAAACUCCGGUGGUGUGAGAUGGACCCGCGUCUGAUUAGCUAGUUGGCAGGGCAACGGCCUACCAAGGCGACGAUCAGUAGCCGGCCUGAGAGGGUGAACGGCCACAUUGGAACUGAGACACGGUCCAAACUCC